CGGGACUGGGGCUAAUGCUCCAUAGACAAACAAUACUGGAAUGUUUGUUUGUUGAAAAAAUUUGUCUAUUCCGACAAUGAUUGCUUGAGGAUGGGACUGCGUCGCAUUAGGUUGUUGGCGGGGUAACUGCCCACCAAGCCGAUGAUGCGUACGGGCCCUGAAAGGGGGAGCCCGGAGAAGGGAACUGAGAUAAGGUCCCUAGCCCUACGGGGUGCAGCAGUCGCGGAACCUUUACACUACACGAAAGUGUGAUAGGGGGAUUUCGAGUGGCCACACUGUGGCCUUUUGCUAAAUGUAAAAAGUUUAGCGAAUAAAGGGGGGGCAAUAUACGUGCCAGCCGCCGCGGUAAUACGUAACCCCUGAGUGGUUUCCACUUGUAUUUGGCCUAAAACACCUGUAGCCUGUGUAGUCAGUCUUUGGUGAAAUCAAACAGCUUAACUGUUUGAAUUGCAAAAGAUACUGCUAUGCUUGGGGAAGGAAGACGUAAAGAGAAUUUUUGGGGUAACGGUGAAAUGUGAUGAUCCCAAAAGGACUUCCAGUAGCGAAAGCGCUUUACGAGGACUAUCCCGACGGUGAGAGAUGAAAGCUGGGGGAGCGACCAGGAUUAGAUACCCUGUUAGUCCCAGCCGUAAACGAUGUGGACUAGGUGUUCCAUUUCCUACAUGGAUUUGGAGUGCCGACGCGAAGGCAUUAAGUCCACUGCCUGGGGAGUACGCCCGCAAGGGUGAAACUUAAUGGAAUUGGCGGGGGCUCACUACAAGGGGUGGAUGCUGCGGUUUAAUUGA
rnacentral:rRNA from 1 species